AUGAACGCUGGCGGCGUGCCUAAUACAUGCAAGUCGAACGCUUUGUCUUUAAUUGAUAUGAAGAGCUUGCUCUGAUUUGAUUUUAUCUGACAAAGAGUGGCGAACGGGUGAGUAACACGUGGGUAACCUACCUCUUAGCAGGGGAUAACAUUUGGAAACAAGUGCUAAUACCGUAUAACACUAACAACCGCAUGGUUGUUAGUUGAAAGAUGGUUCUGCUAUCACUAAGAGAUGGACCCGCGGUGCAUUAGCUAGUUGGUAAGGUAAUGGCUUACCAAGGCGAUGAUGCGUAGCCGAGUUGAGAGACUGAUCGGCCACAAUGGGACUGAGACACGGCCCAUACUCCUACGGGAGGCAGCAGUAGGGAAUCUUCCACAAUGGGCGCAAGCCUGAUGGAGCAACGCCGCGUGUGUGAUGAAGGGUUUCGGCUCGUAAAACACUGUUAUAAGAGAAGAACGACAUUGAGAGUAACUGUUCAGUGUGUGACGGUAUCUUAUCAGAAAGGAACGGCUAACUACGUG
rnacentral:rRNA from 1 species